CAGCCAGAGCUGCCUGCCCCGGAGGUAAGCGGAUCUCUCUGUGUCGGCACACCCGGGAGCUGAGCCUCUGGCUGCCCCGGAAGACGGAAGACGGGCCGGAAGGCGGAGGGCAGCAAGGCCAGCUCCUGCCACCCCAAGGUUCCAGCCCUGACCCAAGGCACAAGGACCUCGGAGGGAUCUAUGGGGAUGACGUGUCUACCGACGGACAGAUCUCUCCCAGUGGCUCUCUUCCCUGCGGCCCCCUGACUGAUGGAGAUUUUUGCACCAAGGGUGAACCUAGAGGAAAAGGAUGUUAAGGCCGCCCACAGGAAGCCGGGAGCCCGACUGCUCGGAACUUGGUGGAACACCAAAGACCACCGUGAUGUCGGCGGGCUGCUCCUGUUGCUGCUGGACAGAGAGGUUCAAGAAAAGGGAGAGCUGGGGAAUCGCAAUUCCCUGCUUCAGUGCCGCAGACAUGAGGCAGGAGCCCGUGUGCCCUGCCCUGAGGGAGAGCCGGGUUCCCGCCAGCCGCAGGGCAGUGCGGCUCCGAGUCCGAGGCGGACCCUCCUCCCGUGAAGGGCUGAACUGCAACGUAGAAGGAACCCCCAGCCUCUCAGGGGGUCUGCUGCGGACGGGAGGGCGCUGGCAGCAUGGGCGGGAGUCCUGGGGGUUGGGCUGGGGCUGAGUGGGACAACCCUGGGGAAGGGGGAUCCCACACCCUCUUCCACGAGGCUUCUCUUCUGUGGAAGAGCCCCCCCGCCCCCGGUGGGCAGGGGCCUCCCCACCCCUACCCCAGGGCUUGCUGGCUCUCCGCAGGACCCACGCCCACUGCCCCUCUUUGCUUCUAGAGCCAGAACCAGACGCAAGUCCUAGCAGGCCCUGAAGCCCCAUCCAGGCCCCACCUCGGACAGACACAGGCCUGGGUUGGAACUGAGCACCAGGGACUCCAGGCACCAGCCCUGUCCCUGCGCUGCUGCACGGCCGUGAUACCAGCGGACACUGUGGGCAAGAAGCAGCCGCCAUCCUGACCUCGUGGUGAGACCCGGGCCAGAGACCGGGAGAUAAAUCCAACAGGGGUCCAGGGCCUUCUACCUCAGGAACAUUCCUGGAGGCCCAGGGUGUGGGGCAUGCCUAGAUAUGUCCCCUAAGAUGAAGGACAAAUUGUGGACUCGAGCCUAGUGGGCCUCUGUGGACAUCUCUCAUGGGGGCGUUACUCUAGCCCGUUCGCAGGGUGACCCCCAGAGCUGCUCACUGGGGCCAGAACAAGAGACCUGGCAGGUCCAGGCCGUGCGACCCAGCAGAGCCCAUGGCACCAGCAGUGUCGGUGUGGACGGAGGUGCUGUGGGGAGCCCCCUACACCGGCCUCUUGGGUUUGGGGCAGGAUGCUGCCGUCAGCCCCAGGUGACCACUGUCCUCUGAGAAACAGCUCUGGAUCUUCAUAGAGACCAGACCCUUGGCUUCAGGCCCCGAGUCACAGUGCCGCCUAGACUGGGCCUCACAGUCGGUGUGUGGUCUGAGCCACCAGGCUGUUGUCCCGUGGCAGGGGUGUGUGCGUGGUCAGGUCCGCACGGGCCCUGGAGGCAUGAGUAAGUCUCAUGAACAUGUGGCCCAAAUGCCCACGGCCCCAGCCCUGCUACACGCCACAAGAGCUGCUGAUCCUGGGCGCAGGGGCCCCCUCUUCUCUCUUUCCCGGCCUGGCCUGUGGCUUUGGGGGCAGCUCCUCCAGUCAGCUGACCGGGGAGAGGAGGCUCGGGACCGGCUGUCCGAUGGGUCUGCCCCGUGCUCAGGAGCUGCCACCCGGCAUGGACAGCUGUCACUCUCCAGCCUCUCCCCCGGAUGUCCCCGGAGAAUGUGGUGGAGGGGAGUCCCCCAGAGGGCAGGACUUGGGUCGUGCACCUGCUUGUGCACCGUGCUCCGAAGGAGAAACGGCCAGACGUGAUAUUACACGCUGGUUCGUGGCUGCAGCCAGUGGUUCGGCUGGACGGUCAGGGACUCGGAAGGACCGUGACCGGGAAAAUGAUGACAUGGGAAUUUGGGGAAGAGGUGUGUGGACGGGUAAAACAUGGAUAUCUGUGUCCUGUGUGAAUGCCCACCACGGGGGGAGGUUGCCAGGGGCCUUUCAUCAUCAAGCAGGUAGAUGGCCUGUUCUGGGGGUACCAGGCAGCCCCUUCCCCAGCCCCCCUGGCCACCGCCCCUGGGCUCUGGCAUAAAGUGGCCGUGCUGGCAGAGGGGGAGGCCACGUGUGGCUCAGCAGUGGGGACGUCACGCCCCAGGGCCCACCCGGCUCUGGCCCCCACUGUGUGCCCCGUGUGCCAGUGGUGGACGCCCACACGAACCCUCACCUGGAGCCCUUUCUGGAGCGACCAGCCAGCCACCUGCUGGCAGGCUGACAGCCCCAGAUGGCCUCCGUCGUGGGAAGGGCUGGGCUCUGUUCCUACUGGAAUAGACACGCAUUCGGGAUACAGACUUGCCUCUGCUGCAGGUGGACUCCACCAAAACGACAUCAUGGACUUCCAGAAUGCCCCGUUUGCCAUCCCCGUGUCCCACUGGCAGAGAAGGAGCUCGUUCACGCAGCUGGCUGACAGGACAGCGGAAGGGCCUUCUGAAGGCUGGUUCCAGCCCCAGCGAGGGGGCAGUACCCUGCAGCACCGGAUGGUGUCUCCCCGAAGGCCCUAGGUGCUCUGAGUGAGCAUCCCACGUUUGGGGCCGUGGCUUCCAGAGCCGGGAUUCAUGGGCCCAGGAAUCGGGGGGUGGAAAUGGCCGGGGCACCCUCACUCUCACCCCUAGUGCCUCACUAGCAGAACCUUCGCUUCCCGCCCCCACGACCUUGAGCUCUGCUGCCCUGAGGUCUCCAUGGCAGAGGGAGGAGGCUUCCGUCAGAGACACGGCCAUGGCUCCAGUGAGCGGGAAGCCAGACUGCUACUCGGCCACUUGGGGACCCUGCAUCCCCGAACCAGCAGGCAGAGAAGGGAGGUCCAGUGUUGGUGGGGUGGAGGGGCUGACCCUGUCGCCACGGGGACAUGGAACCACCGCUCCACAGUGGGGGAAGGAAGGAAGAGUGUUUGGACCAGAGCGGGUCCUGGGGGUGUCUCAUAGUUGCAGCACCCUGGGGUGGAGGUCGAUGGGCUCAGGCUGAAUCACCCCACCUGUCCUCUGGGGUCCCCGGCUUGCAGGCAGCAGACACUGGGGCAUCCCGGGCUUCCUGAGCCCUCGAACCUGUCUGUAACCUGAACCUCCUUUGGUCUCCUCCUGUGGCGUCUCUGGAGGACCCUGGCUGGGGCAUCCAUGCCAGACCUGUGGACCCGAAGCUUUAGCGUCUGGGGGUACUUCAUUUCCCAUGGUGUCUGCUUCCCCUGAAGCUGGAUUCCAGAGGGCUCCAGGCUUUCGAGUGACCCGAACACAAAGAAGUGACCCAUGUGAGGGCUACAGCCAGAGCUGUGAGUCUGGGGAAGGUGCCGGCCUGACCCAACUGGGCUCCCAGCCUCCCCACUCAUGACCAGACCCAGAGAACACAACUUGGAAGUCAGAAACUCUGAGGGGCAGAGAUGGAGGUGGGCAGUGGCCUCAGGCUGCAUGUGGAACAGGUACGGAGCCCAGAUGAAACAAGCAAGUGGUCCCCCUGCUCACCAGGCCCAGGGCCACGGAGUCACCUGCAUUUCUGCUGCUGCCCCCAUGCAGGUCCAGUCCAGUCUCACGAUGGGGAAGACCCCAGAGGGUCCAGACAGAACCACAUCGCUCCAGGGCUGGGGACCCAGAGGCAGGCAGAGCUGGCCUUGGAUACCGAAGGGUCUUCCUUCUCUGGGCUGCAUCCCACUCCCACCGAAAGCCAGCUCCUGAUCCUGUUUGCUGGAUGUGAGGCCCUCUCGGCAGAUCACCACCAGGCACCAGACGUAGGUGGUGUCCUGGGAGCACAGAGGGAGAAAAGGGUGUAUUUCCCUCUGGAUAUGCGCCCCCCACCCCAGGCACGCUGAGGGACAGGCUCUGGGAAGCAGGGGCUUUGGAAGGGUAGGGCAGGUUUCCAAGUGAUUUGAUAUCGAAGCUGAAUGGGACGCCAGCCACUGGGUGGGGGCAACGUGCAAAGGGGCUUGGAUUAAUCCCGAGGGCCAAGGCAUGACCCCACUCACCUCGAUAAGGUCCCUCUUGCUCUGAGGCAGUGGACAGAGGGGAGGAGGCAAAGCCAGAACCCAGGAGACCAGGAUGGGGGUGAAGGCAGCAUCUGAGGGCAGAUGGGGACGUGGCUGGGAAGGUGGUUGUGCCAGCCAAGAGCAGAGGAUGAGGAGCAGGUGGGAGCUCACACGCCACUGCCUGAGCACUGGCUGGGGAGGAGACCAGGUGGAGCAAUGGGCUCAGGAAAGACAAUUCAGCCUGCUGGGAGUUGAUUUUAAGGUGCCCGUGGGAUGACCAUGGAGUGGUCUAGGAGAUGGAGACAUGCCCGUCGUCCAGCGUAGGGGUCAGCAAGCUAUGGCCCGAGGUCGUCUGUUGCCUGUUUUUGUAUGCCCACAAGCCAAGAGCACUUGUCACAGUUUUAGAAGGUCAAAAAAAAAAAAAAUUAACAUUCAUUAUCUGCUACCAAAAAACU